GGAACUGAAAUCAUCACCCCUGAGCUAAGUCCCAGCUUCACUCUUUCCCUGCUGCGUAACUGGAUGGUGGCCGGACUCAGGCUCGGCUCGUCUGUGAGUGUGACGAACGUGGUACAUACUUCCAGGGCUGGUGUGAGUCGGUAAGACAAAUGGGCAGAGGAGGUAGUACAAAGCCUGGUACACCUGAGCGCUAACUUCCUGCUUCCUGCGACCAUAAUCGUUAUUACUCUGUUGUCAUCACCACCACCUCUUUCAUUAUCACCUUCAUCAUCAUCAGUCACCGCCUUUGUCACCCUCACCUCUGGCUGAUGGAGACGGGAAUAUCAGACUAUGCGUGUUCGUACAAACUCAGAAAGAAGCUGCAAGUCUGGACUGGCCCUCACUGUCUUUUGGACAAUACAGGCUUGAAGCAACUUAUUUGUGACAUCUGUUUAGACAACAUUUGGAAAAGUAAAUCCUAAUUCUGAAAGUCAAGUUCAAAUCUACUUCCAAAAAGGGUGUGAUUGCCAUUAAUCGCUGAAGAUAUGGUCGGCUUAAUUCAGAUGUGAAUGUUUUUGGGCGAAUGCCAGCUUGGAAGUGUCACCCGUCUCAUCAAAACUGAAUGCCCAGAUAACAUCACUUCUACGCAAUUACUGCCAACUCCCACCUCUGCAGACGGCAGGCAGCCUUCCCGACUUUCCCAGAACCCCAGCAAAUCUAACAGGUGUUCUAGUGGAAGGCCACUUCUUGUGAGCAGUCUGCCCCCUGCUGAUGAUUCCGGAACUACACACCUAAAUAACCGGGACCGGCACUUCUGGGAGAAUAAAGUUCACCAGGCUCCCAGUUCUGCAAGGCGCAUGCGCGGAGCACAGAAAACGGCCAAGAGAUAACGGGGAUGAGAUACGAAGGCAAAACAGAUCCAGGGUCCGCAGCCCCGACGUCCAGCCCCACCUCUCGGUCGUCCUGGCUGCCCUCACCAGUGCACCGGGCAUCUCUCCGGGCUUGCAUCUGGUGGUGGGCAGCUGCCACAUCGGGCCCCACAGCAGCUGCUGGGAACUUUGGCUGCUGCUGGUUCUCCUCUGAGACGCUAUCCAGCACUUUCCCUCAAAGAGCACUCGUGGAUGUGGGGACAGGCCAUCUCCAGUGACACAGAUGCAUGCUAAAGGCCGGCCUCUGGUCCCCCUGUCUCAGAGCAGACGACUCUGGAGAGACGCCUGACUUCCCAGCUCCACCCCGUCUUCCGCUCAGACAGAGUCGCCUCCGUCUGCUCAGUCCUGCCUCCUGCUGCUGCUCUGCUGCUACCCGGGACAGGGCUUCCCAAGACCCUCCUGUGUGCAAGUCUCAGAGGCUGUUUCCCUGGGAACCUGACCUAUGGGAGUUGGUAGCAGGAGCCAUCCUAGGACACAAACUCUAAAAUGCGGGGUGGAGGUGGAGACCCACCAGCUGGUGGCCAUAAAAAAGGCUGUUACUGGUGGCCAGCGAGCACCGGCAGCCUCAAGGGGUCUGGAGCUCAAAUCUCC